rnacentral:piRNA from 1 species
UGUUCUGAGGCUUUAAUGCUAGUAG